AAGCCAACACGGGGCCGGCUCUCCUUUUGCCAGCCUUCGCUCCAGCCUCUGCCCGGGCUCUCCUUGCACCCUCUUAGCUUCCGCCGGCAGGGUCCGGACUGGUGGAGUCGGAGUCAGAGAAGACCAGCGGGCACACUUCUGCCCCGCGCACCUUCCUCUGUGGAGGGGAACAGACGGCAGAGGAGGAAACUGAGCUAACUUCCCCCACAAAGCCAGAAAGUAGGACAUCCAAGCUCUGGCUGUCCGGAAACUGGAACUGCCCUGAAUGACCCUACUUUUAGAGACAACAUAUGCAGACCCACGACAUGGCUCAAAAGUGAAGGUGCUUGCUGCCAUGCUUGGUGCCCCGAGCUCAGUCCCUGGGAUCCGCAAGCCGCCUGGUCAAGAGCAGCAAAGAGCAAACCAAGAUCUUCUGCUGGAGAGGGAGGGAAUCUUGUGUUGUUUCUUGGCUCAGAGUCACCCUGUUGCCAUCCACUUCCGAAAUGACUUGGGAUAUGUGAGCAAGGCCAACACGUUUGGGAACUGGUGCCUCAGAGGGAUACAGCUUAAUGUUGAGAAGACCACUGACCGACCUACCUUCUGAAUUACCAAGAACCUGACAGAAGCCACCAAGUAGGGCUAACUGCUCAGGUUGCCUAGUGCAGACCCCUGGUGGGAUCCUCAGCACAAAACCCUGCAGCAAAGACCUGGCAGCUAAGGAAGGAGAAGCACUAGGUGGAAAAUUUAUCUAACAUUGUGAGUCAAAUGAAUGGCUUCUGUUGGCCUUGAACUUGUAGUGAUUCUCAAGACUUCAGGCUCCCGAGGACUGGAAUCAUAGACUGCCUCACGACACCCUGAGAUGAACUCCUGAUCUGCUCAGUCCAUAAUAUGACUGUCUUUGCUUUACCUACCGGCCACUGCUUUCUCCUACGUAAACACUUAAAGGGCACUCACCGUAAGUACCCAGACAGAAGGUGACUCAACCUGAGAGCCUUGGAAGAAACCUUACUACCUGAGCCUCACCAUUUAGGAACACCCCGGGGAACUCAUUUCAGGUGACACACAGACUGAUACUGGCAGGCAAGACUGAAAUAAAGUAGAUGAGACUACACCCUGCUCCCUCGCGGGUGCGUGUGUGGAUUUAACUGUGUCUGUUUAUCUUCCCCUUUCUUCAGGAAACUUAACUCUCCAUCUAUAGAUGACGACAGGAAGCAGGUUAAGCUACUCACCUUCAGACAGUGGUUUGAGGACCGUCUGGCUUUUGACGUCCGACUCCACAAUUUCAAUA